UACGUAGGGUGCAAGCGUUGUCCGGAAUUAUUGGGCGUAAAGGGCGCGUAGGCGGUUCUUCAAGUCUCUCGUGAAAUCCCUCGGCUUAACUGAGGACGUGCGGGAGAUACUGAAGGGCUUGAGUCCGGAAGAGGGUGGUGGAAUUCCCAGUGUAGCGGUGAAAUGCGUAGAUAUUGGGAGGAACACCGGUGGCGAAGGCGGCCACCUGGGCCGGAACUGACGCUGAGGCGCGAAAGCGUGGGGAGCAAACGGG
rnacentral:rRNA from 1 species